AGAACGAACGCUGGCGGCAUGCCUAAUACAUGCAAGUCGAACGAACACUUCGGUGUUAGUGGCGCACGGGUGCGUAACGCGUGGGAAUCUGCCCUUGGGUUCGGAAUAACAGUUGGAAACGACUGCUAAUACCGGAUGAUAUCGAAAGAUCAAAGAUUUAUACGCCCAGGGAUGAGCCCGCGUAGGAUUAGCUAGUUGGUGAGGUAAAGGCUCACCAAGGCGACGAUCCUUAGACUGGUCUGAGAGGAUGAUCAGCCACACUGGGACUGAGACACGGCCCAGACUCCUACGGGAGGCAGCAGUAGGGAAUAGUGGACAAUGGGCGCGAAGCCUGAUCCGAGCAAUGCCGCGUGAGUGAUGAAGGCCUUAGGGUUGUAAAGGUCUACGUUUUACCGAGUAUGAUAAUGACAGUAUCGG
rnacentral:rRNA from 1 species